CAUGCAGGCGGCCAAUUAAGUCAAAUGUGAAAUCCCCGAGCUUAACUUGGGAAUUGCAUUCGAUACUGGUUGGCUAGAGUAUGGGAGAGGAUGGUAGAAUUCCAGGUGUAGCGGUGAAAUGCGUAGAGAUCUGGAGGAAUACCGAUGGCGAAGGCAGCCAUCUGGCCUAAUACUGACGCUGAGGUACGAAAGCAUGGGGAGCAAACAGGAUUAGAUACCCGCGUA
rnacentral:rRNA from 1 species